rnacentral:rRNA from 1 species
UACAGAGGUCUCAAGCGUUGUUCGGAUUCAUUGGGCGUAAAGGGUGCGUAGGCGGCGCGGUAAGUCGGUUGUGAAAUCUUGGAGCUUAACUCCGAAACUGCAUUCGAUACUGCCGUGCUUGAGGACUGGAGAGGAGACUGGAAUUUACGGUGUAGCGGUGAAAUGCGUAGAUAUCGUAAGGAAGACCAGUGGCGAAGGCGGGUCUCUGGACAGUUCCUGACGCUGAGGCACGAAGGCCAGGGGAGCAAACGGG